AAAGUCGUAACAAGGUUUCCGUAGGUGAACCUGCGGAAGGAUCAUUGGAGGAGGGAUGAGAGAGAGGGGGAAGAGUUGGAAUGAGGGAGAACAAUCAUUUUAUUAUACUAAUCCAAUAUACAACUGCUGACAAUGGAUCUCUGGGCUCUU
rnacentral:misc_RNA from 1 species